rnacentral:rRNA from 1 species
GGUUAAGCGACUAAGCGUACACGGUGGAUGCCCUGGCAGUCAGAGGCGAUGAAGGGCGUGCUAAUCUGCGAU